rnacentral:rRNA from 1 species
AGUGGCGGACGGGUGAGUAACGCGUGGGUAACCUGCCUUGUACAGGGGGGAUAACAGUUGGAAACGACUGCUAAUACCGCAUAAGCCCACGGGUCGGCAUCGACCAGAGGGAAAAGGAGCAAUCCGCUUUGAGAUGGCCUCGCGUCCGAUUAGCUAGUUGGUGAGGUAAUGGCCCACCAAGGCAACGAUCGGUAGCCGGACUGAGAGGUUGAACGGCCACAUUGGGACUGAGACACGGCCCAGACUCCUACGGGAGGCAGCAUG